rnacentral:rRNA from 1 species
UCCAGACUCCUACGGGAGGCAGCAGUGGGGAAUAUUGCACAAUGGGGGGAACCCUGAUGCAGCAAUGCCGCGUGAAGGAUGAAGGUUUUCGGAUUGUAAACUUCUUUUGUACGGGACGAAGAAAGUGACGGUACCGUAAGAAUAAGCCACGGCUAACUACGUGCCAGCAGCCGCGGUAAUACGUAGGUGGCAAGCGUUAUCCGGAUUUACUGGGUGUAAAGGGCGUGUAGGCGGGACUGCAAGUCAGAUGUGAAAAUUAUGGGCUCAACCCAUAACCUGCAUUUGAAACUGUAGUUCUUGAGUGAUGGAGAGGCAGGCGGAAUUCCGUGUGUAGCGGUGAAAUGCGUAGAUAUACGGAGGAACACCAGUGGCGAAGGCGGCCUGCUGGACAUUAACUGACGCUGAGGCGCGAAAGCGUGGGGAGCAAACAGGAUUAGAUACCCGUGUAGU